rnacentral:lncRNA from 1 species
GGGGUCACUAACCUACCUUCAAAUUUUUGACCCAGAGUUGUUCCCAUCUAAAAGAAAUACAGGGACAAAAAUGGAGCACAGACUGAAGAAAAGGCCAUCCAGUGGCCGGCCCAACUUUGGAUCAUCCCAUGCACAGGCACCAAACCCUUGACACUAUUACGGAUACCAUGUUGUGCUUGCAGACAGGAGCCUAUCUUGGCUGUCCCCUGAGAGGCUCUAUCAGUAGCUGACUGAGACAGAUGCAGAUACUUAAAGCCAACCAUUAGACUGAAGUCAGGGACCACUAUGGAAGAGUUAGGAGAAGGAAUGAAAGAGCUGAAGAGGACUACAACCACAUAGGAAGACCAAGGGUUCCUCCUCCAAGUGCCACGUGUUUACUGCUCUGGAGAAGUCCUGGGAGAAUGGAGCUGAUGAGUGAGGCAGACUAAGGUCUCAUGCAAUAGCCGACUUUGUCCCUCAUGUCAGACAAAUUAAACUCUCUGAGGGUUAAAUGGGGUCACAUGAGUCAAGCAUGCAAUCACAGUGACUAGCCCUACACGUAAGAGAGUCACACCUGGGGCAGACAAGCUGCAUGUAGUGGGCAAGCCACCUGUGGCAAAAACAUGUUUUCACACCGAGUCAUGUAAUAGAUAACCUGAGGUAAACUCAUUCCUAGCCACUGUACCUGGGAGGAGCAAGAAAACACAUGCCAAGAACACAUUCUGUGUUUUGAAGAAAGUGGCAUCACAAGAUUCUUGGCUUGGUGUCUUGGGAGUUUUCUCACAAGCACUCAGAAAUAGUCUCACAUUACUACAUUCUUGGGCCAACAGUGUGUGGUUUGUAGUGGAGAAGAGCUGUUUCCUUCAUCAACCUAGAAAAUGGAGAGAAAUGAAAACAUGGUAUCAAGAAGUCCCUAAUGACAUGGCCCCACGGGCCUACUUAUUUCAUUGAGCCCCUCCCCUAGGGUUUUAUCACUUUUAGCAUAGAGUUUAGGAUUAGACACCACAUUCCCUGGAAGUGUAAAGUAGAGUAUCCUUUGUCUUAUAAUUUCAUAGGUGUUUAUCACAUUCACAUACACACAAACAAAUCCAUUUUUACUCCAGACCAUGUAAUCACUCUUAGUCUUUCUCUAUUUCUGCAACUGUAUCUCUCAAUUUCUUCUUUCAUGGGAAUAGCUUUUCUCUAUGAAUGACUCAAUCACCUUUGCUAGCCUCCAUUUUCCUUAGUUACAACAAGAAGAAAAAAAAUCCUUGCUAAAUGUAAUUUGGUAUGAUUUAACAAUUAAACAAUUUUAGCUAAAU